CAAUGGGUCCUUACCGGGUUUGAGGAUAGGAACGACGACGGACUCUUUCCAUUCACUAGGGUAAGUAUUUUAGACCCAGCACCGAUUAUAUAAGUCUAAGAGAGAUAGCUUUGCAGUUAAUGGAAGAUGUUUUAGAAAUAUGUUAUGGGAUUGUGUCAGACCCUGACGCCUUUGAGUCUGCGCAUCUUAGAGCUUCAUCCAACUCGGUCAUGGAAAGGGGUGAGGGGUUUCAGUGGUAGACCCAUCUCGAGUUAUAAUCCGAGUGAUUGACGCAGUUCUCUUGCCAUUAGCCAGAAGCUUUAUCCUUCUCCAUACCUCAGAUGAAGACGUGCUGGGGCUAAUCGUAGAAGUAUAACGAUUCCAAGAUUCUCUUUUGCAUUCUAGAACUAUUCUACGCGCCUUAGCUCUAGCUAUCUUGAAAGCAACCAAGUUGUCUUCGGUGGGCCUUCGACGGAAAACGUUUAGUGCUCUUUUUUUAACUCUUAUAGCAUCCCUAACCGCAGGACACCACCAGGGAACGUUUCGGGUAAUCGAUCUGCUGCCCACUACAGGAAUAGAGUUUAGGGCCGCAUUUUUUAUGGAAUCCACAUUUUCUCCUCAAAAGAGGCCCAGUGUGCCUUCUCCAGAUUCCAUCUACGGGGAGUGAUAACUGGCGUUCUAUGAGAGUCUGUUCCAAUAGCAAUAGGGAAAUGGUCACUGUUGUGAAGGUCAUCAAGUGGUCUCCACUCCAGACGGGCGGCCAACACUGGUGAGGCGAAAGUCAGAUCAAUCGCGUGGAAAUUACUCGCUCUGGCAUUAAAAUACGUAGAAGCACCUGUGUUUAAUAGAACAAUAUCAUCCCGCUCCAGUAGUUCUUCUAUCUUACGACCUCUACUGUCUCUAGCUUCUGAACCCCAUAUAGGACUGUGUGCACUGAAAUCUCCCACUAGUAGGAGAGGGACAGGGAGUUGAUCCAGUAGAUUUUCAAGAUCUGCAAUUUCCCAAUCGUCUCUCGGUAGGUAUAGACUGCAUAUUGAUGCCAAAACCGGAUGAGACAUUCGUACUGCCACCGCCUGUAGGCGUGUGUUUAGUUGAAUUUCUUUAGAACGAGCUUCAAGUUUAGUUAUAAUGGCGACUCCUCCUGCAGCCCUAACAUGUACGUCGUCGUCCUUCCUUACGAUAUUGUAAUUUCUCAACCCGUAAGGCUGGCCGUGUUUUAAAUGCGUUUCUUGCAGACACACACAUAUUGGA